GAUGAAGAACGUAGCAAAAUGCGAUACUUGGUGUGAAUUGCAGAAUCCCGUGAACCAUCGAGUUUUUGAACGCAAGUUGCGCCCGAAGCCUUUUGGCCGAGGGCACGUCUGCCUGGGCGUCACGCAUCGCGUCGCCCCCCACAAUUCUCCGUAAAGGGAACAUGUGUUUUGGGGGCGGAUAUUGGUCUCCCGUGCUCAUGGCGUGGUUGGCCGAAAUAGGAGUCCUUUCGAUGGACGCACGAACUAGUGGUGGUCGUAAAAACCCUCGUCUUUUGUUUCGUGCUGUUGCUCGCAAGGUAAACUCUUUAAAAACCCCAAUGUGUCGUCUCUUGACGACGCUUCGACCGCGACCCUAGGUCAGGCGGGACUACCCGCUGAGUUUAAGCAUAUCAAUAAGCGGAGGA
rnacentral:misc_RNA from 1 species